UACAGAGGUCUCAACCGUUGUUCGGAUUCAUUGGGCGUAAAGGGUGUGUAGGUGGCGCGCUAAGUCGGGUGUGAAAUUUCGGAGCUUAACUCCGAAACUGCAUUCGAUACUGGCGUGCUUGAGGACUGGAGAGGAGACUGGAAUUCAUGGUGUAGCAGUGAAAUGCGUAGAGAUCAUGAGGAAGACCAGUGGCGAAGGCGGGUCUCUGGACAGUUCCUGACGCUGAGGCACGAAGGCCAGGGGAGCAAACGGGG
rnacentral:rRNA from 1 species